CGGUCAAGUUAUUUUCCAUUCCAAAGUCUAACUUCAUCAUGUAAAUUUCUCACCCUGCUCUUAAGGGGCCAGAGAUAAUAUCCAUUUUAAGGAGUAUUAUCAAAGGAAAAACUUUGUCAGGCCACAGGAUGUUUUAUUAUACCCUUCUUUCUUAGCAAAUAUCUGCAAAGAAGGGUGUCUUAUACUUCACAGGGGUGUUGAUGGGAGGGCAAGCCUCUGAAUUCACUUACACAAAUAAUAAGUGUAAAACAAAAAUAAAUAUUAUUAUUGAACAGUAAUUGGACAUCCAGCACCCAAAAUUUUCAUUAAAUAAGACAGAAUAUUUUUAAAAGCAAUUUAAUCUCUUAUAAACAGCCAAAGUGAAUUUUAAGCAAUGCAUGGAUCUCUAAUAGGUAUUUCUUCCAAGGAUAUAAAACAGUUCUUUGUAAGUAUAAACAACUCUUUAUUACAACAUUAAGUUAUUCUUAAAGUUAGUUCAAAUACAUAUUUUCAAAUGUUAGAAAUUCUUAUAUUCUUAUAGGAUAUCUUAUAGGAGAUAUCUUACAGGUAUCUUAUAAGAGAUGAAUGUCCCAAGAAGACUUCCUAGAAGGUAAUCCCAUAGGAGUUCUCAGCCAUGAAACUUCAAGAGCAUUGAAAGUACAGAGUAAACAAUGUCAUGCAAUUAAAUUUAACUCUUACUAGCCUCCAUCUACUCAAAUUAAUCAAUAUUAACAUAUGGAUUCAGAAAAUGUGGACAACUCCAAGUCAUUUAUUCUAGAAGGAUGAAUUAUCUUGCUAGGAAUUUACCCAAGUUUUCUCCCCUUUUCCUUUUCUGUGAGAGAGAGUCCAUGUGUGUGCAUGCAUGUGUGUGUAUAUGUGUGUGUGUGUGUGUAUGGCCACUUAUCAGCAUUCAAGGAACAAAACUAUGGUUUCCUUUAUUUUACCUUACAUUUAAAGAAUAAACAUAUUUCUGAAAUUUUCAACUCAACUGAACUUUAUAAUAAACUGCUAAAGAUGAAAAAAAAAAGGUGAUAGUUUUCAGGAUGUCAGAAAUGUGAACACAGAUUCAAUAAGGCUAUUAAUUUUUUCACCAAUUAGGAAACUUUAGAGGUUAGCUAUAAAGGAACAAAGGAAAAGAGGCAUAAAUAAAUUUCUUAUAUAUAUUCAGAGGAGUAAAGAAACCUACUGAAAGGAAAAGAAUGAGGAAGGAAGAAUGCGAGGAAGGAAGGAAGAAAGAUAGAGGAAGGAGAUGGAAGAGAUGCUUUUUAUUGUGAAAAUAGGUAAAAGACAAAAGGCAAAUAUAUUCGUUAAACUGAAUUUUAAACUUAAAGUCCAGCCUACUGAGGUGACAUCUAGCUGGAGCUGGUACGAAGCCUUCAGGAUGGCAGGCACUCCACACGGUCUUGGCUCUCUUCCCCCUCGGAUGCACCUGAGGCACUGGAAGACUCAUCCAGGUCUGCAUCCAUGACCCCCAACCCAGAGCGCCCCUGGUG
rnacentral:lncRNA from 1 species